GAGUUUGAUCCUGGCUCAGAACGAACGCUGGCGGCGCGCCUAAUACAUGCAAGUCGAGCGAGAAGGUGUAGCAAUACACUUGUAAAGCGGCGAACGGGUGAGGAAUGCAUGGGUAACCUACCCUCGAGUGGGGAAUAACUAGCCGAAAGGUUAGCUAAUACCGCAUACGUUUCCGGAACUUCGGUUUCGGAAAGAAAGCAAUACCGUGGGUAUUGCGCUCAUGGAUGGGCUCAUGUCCUAUCAGCUUGUUGGUGAGGUAACGGUUCACCAAGGCUUCGACGGGUAGCUGGUCUGAGAGGACGAUCAGCCACACUGGCACUGCGACACGGGCCAGACUCCUACGGGAGGCAGCAGUAAGGAAUAUUGCGCAAUGGACGAAAGUCUGACGCAGCGACGCCGCGUGGGGGAUGAAGGUCUUCGGGUCGUAAACUCCUUUUCUGGGGGAUGAGAAAGGACAGUACCCCAGGAAUAAGUCUCGGCUAACUACGUGCCAGCAGCACGGUAUC
rnacentral:rRNA from 1 species